UUUUUUUAAAGAAAGGUUUCAUGCCAUUUGAAGUCGGAAUAAGAUUACACGAUUGACUAGGAAUCUGCAACAAACCCAUCAGCCAGAGGGGUCCGGCUGGAGGGUCCUGAAGUGCAAUGGAUCCGGUUGCACAGACCACCCUUGUCUGGACAUCAACUGUGAGGAACACAACACCUUCCACAGGCGUAUAAUAAUGCUCAUAGAUCAUUUGAACCUGGAGAGAAGGGAGUUUAAUGGAG